rnacentral:rRNA from 1 species
ACGGGUGAGUAAUACAUCGGAACGUAUCCUGGAGUGGGGGAUAGCCCGGCGAAAGCCGGAUUAAUACCGCAUACGCUCUGAGGAGGAAAGCGGGGGACCUUCGGGCCUCGCGCUCAAGGGGCGGCCGAUGGCGGAUUAGGUAGUUGGUGGGGUAAAGGCCUACCAAGCCGACGAUCCGUAGCUGGUCUGAGAGGACGACCAGCCACACUGGGACUGAGACACGGCCCAGACUCCUACGGGAGGCAGCAGUGGGGAAUUUUGGACAAUGGGGGCAACCCUGAUCCAGCAAUGCCGCGUGUGUGAAGAAGGCCUUCGGGUUGUAAAGCACUUUUGUCCGGAAAGAAAUCAUCGGGGCCAAUACCCCUGGUGGAUGACGGUACCGGAAGAAUAAGCACCGGCUAACUACGUGCCAGCAGCCGCGGUAAUACGUAGGGUGCGAGCGUCAAUCGGAAUUACUGGGCGUAAAGCGUGCGCAGGCGGUGCUGUAAGACCGAUGUGAAAUCCCCGGGCUUAACCUGGGAACUGCAUUGGUGACUGCAGCGCUGGAGUAUGGCAGAGGGGGGUGGAAUUCCACGU